GACCACAUGGAUCAGUCGGUAGAUUGCCUUCUUAUUGUGAAACGAUGCAGAGGGCUGCUGCAUGAAGGAGACGGAGGUUCGAACCCUCCUGCAGGCA